GAAUGCAUAAUCUGUGCACUUGUUUUUGAGUGUUUUUCGAAUGAUCUUUAGCCAAUAUGUAGUUCUGAUGCCUGGUAAUAAGAUGUGACAAGACAGUGGGAAGAUGUAAUUAGAUGUAACUAUUCAUGUAAGAAUAAAGACUAGUGAUGCAAGAAAGAAAAACAAAAACAAAAACUCACAAUCUUACCCACAAUCUUAUUCCUGUAGUUUACCUAGAUUUUGCUGUAAUAUGCACUUCAAACUAUAUCAGCUGAGGCUGUACCCUGUAAUUUUUUAUAAAUCUAAGCAUGUUCCAGUCAUUACUUGAAUCUGUUAAGUAAUUCUAACAUGUUAUUUAUGAUCAGGACUGUGCAAAUAAGAUUGAUAAAUGGUUGAAGCCUGAUAUUGAAAAUGGUUGAUAAAAGCCCAAAUUAGAUCAUAGAGAAAUCAUAUACUGUUAGAAACGGGGAAGGUGAGUAUUAGAGGCAGGUGGAUUGAGUUUGAAAUAAAAUUAAUCAUAGUAAUAGCCACUAACUGAGAAAUGGAAGUCACACCAGUAAAGUACAAAUUGCUUCCUGAAAUAACAAGCGAAAGAAGGCAAAAAGCCAAGUGGCAGGAUAUCUGCUGAGAAAGCUGAGAAGAUGAGUCUCACAGGAGAAAAUGGGAGACAGCAGAUCUUGCAUGGCAUCCAAAGAAUACAAGCUAAACAGGAGCAACACCUCAUAAAGAGUUUCAAGACAUACAAGAUAUAUAAAAUUUACCCCAUAACUACCGUGGUGACCAGUUCUAAUAUAUUUAGAAUUCUGAUUACUUGGAUCCCAUCUGCUUCUUCAGUCUUUGAAAAGGACAGCAGGUUUGAAGGAAUUUCACUUUACGUCUGCCUUCUCCACUUCCAUUGCAAUCCCUUGAGAAAUGUGUAGGUCUUUCUGGUUUCACCUGUUGGUCAUAUCCCACUGUCCAAACCCCACCUCAGCACUCAUCGUUUGCAAGUCACAAAGGCAAAUCUCCAUCUAGUGACAAUACCAGAAUUAUUUCAGGAGAUGAAUAAAUGAGAGCAACUGAAAUCAUGUUUAAUCAUUUGGUCAGAAGGAUAUCUGAGAUCCAGUAUGGCCUCGUUGUUGAGCCGUAUCACUUUCUAGUUCUUCCUCACCUAUCAAGUAACCACCUUCUCAUAUGUCUCAUUCUUGCUUGAGAAGAACAGAGAUAAAUUAUAGUUUUGAACUUCUUCUAUUGAGUGAACUGAAGCCAAAGGAAUAAAAUGCAAAGUUAAUUUCUGUCUUAUAGUCAAGACGGUUUUCAAGGGCUUUUGUAAUGCUCGUAUCAACCAUAAUACAACCGUGAGCAAUGCAGGAGAGAGGUGUUCUUGUGAGUGGGCUUACUACAGCAAGUAACGUUUCAGGCAUGGUAUGAAAAGAUAGUGAUGUACUUAAGCUGAGGUAUUUGUAUGGUGGGGGAAAAGCAUGAAAUCAGUAUUAGGGCCUUAAUUGCCAAAUUCUCAAUUUCAAAUAUGGAGAACUCUCACAGGAGCAGUAUUGGCUGAGGUGUCACUGGACGGUCCCUGUGCUGUUACUGCAGCACCUUUGUGGCCAGCGAAGCAGUGGCUGGCUGCUCCCCGAGGGAGGCAAGGCAGGAGCUAGCCAUGCUAGCUACAACCAACGGAGGCCCUGGCCCUGCCAGAAGGGGCUCAGGCCUGUGGUGCCUAAGUAAGGCGAGCAGGGCAACCCCAGUUUUGACUUCAGGGAACCAAAAUUAACAUAAACUGAAGCUGUAUUGGUCAUCUUUCAGAAUAAUGUCUUGUACCAUAUUGGGAAGCUGAUAGAGUCUAGCUUAUUUUUUCAAGAAAAAAAAAAAAGAUCAGAGAAGUGAUAGAAGCUUAUUUGAAUUUCCUUGUCUACAGGCCUAUUACUCCUAGCCUCCAAGCAGCUGGUAGGGAGGGUAAGAAGGUCCAUGGACAUUACUCAGACAUCACCUCACCCCAUUGCCAACAACGUCUGAAGUCUUCCACCAACUCUGCUAGCACUGGAGAGAUAGCCCAGCAGGUUCCCAAAAGGUGAAAGCACUGGAAGGAGUGGUGAGGAGAGGUUAAAUCCUCACCAUUUGUAAAUGAAGACAAGAGAUGAUCUGAUACGAGUUCCCUUGCAAGUAGAGUCCCAGUGAAAGAACCAUUCCCCAAGUCCAACCAUUUAGCUCUCAGCAGCUUUCCUAGGUAUAUAUUGUUUCUUAUCACACACCAUCUGAGCUGUUUCAUCUUCAUCCAAAGGCAUUUUUAAAUAAUCUGCUAAUGCUUGAAACCGGCUUUAAGUAGUAGCUCUCCAGCUCAGAGGAUUCAGACGUGCAUUAACACUGAUCGAGAACACAGUGAAGCUCAGCAGAUUUUAAUGCAGUCCUUUGAAUGAUAAAGGCUAAAGAAUGCACUAAACGGAGUAGCAGAGAGGAUUUGGGCAGGCAUGCUUGAACUCUAGCCCUAUUUGUAUACAUAGCCUGUCCCAUUUUCCUAUAAUGAUGCAGCUGCACUUUUGCUAGCAGCAGCACAGUCAGGCUAGCUACCUAGUAAUUAAUAGAUAUAUGAAUUUUAAGACCCGAAAAGACUUGUCAUCUUCUACUGUGAUCUGUUGUGUAAUUUCUCUCUAUUCUUUCCAGCCUCAGAUCCAGUAGUGUUGCUGGCAGCAGAAUAUAAUAUUGCAUUAAGAGUUCAUCUUGAGCUAUUUCUCAUUAUCUCCAAAUAUAUAAGCUUAUAUUUGAAUGCUAUGAAAAAUGCAUUUUCUGUAUCAGCCCUACAGAGCAAUUUUUUUUGCUUGCUUUGUUACAGGUGAUAAGUACUGUUUGUUAUUUUCUUUGUACCUUUUUGUUUCUAUUAUAAACCCUCAAUACUUUCUUACUCUAAUUUAUAGUUGUUGCUAUCAGUUUCUCUUAUAUCACAGAUGUUUUUUGUAGUAUUAGUUAUAUGACUGCUUUUUCUUCCCUUGUGUUUUAUAAAAUUUUAUCUUAGAUCUAUUUUAACUAACUUAUUUAUCUUUACCAUUAGUGAGAUAUUUCCCCAAUAAGUAAAUGAUUUUACAUAGUUUGCAAUUAUUAUUCACAUCUUUCUCUCAAGAUAUUUCUUCCAAGCUGUUUCAGUUGUUUUUGUCAUAGUGAAAAUGUCUACUUUAAAGGAGUGAGCAUGUGUAUUACUGAUUCAGCCUUGAUUUUCAAAAAACAAAAAUAACAUGCAAACACCACUGCAUUUUAAUUAAAUAUAUUCCUUUUUGAUUGUCAGAAUUCCACUAUGUCAGGUACAAAAGUCUUUGAGGUAGAAAAUGAAUGGCAUCAUUUGUAAACAGGAAUUAUUUUUUGUUUGUGUGUUUCUAGCAGCAUGAGACCUUCAGCAGACAGUACAAAGAUUCAAAUCACACAUUGUAAUACUUUUUUUCUACCCAUUUCAAAGAAAUGUUUAAGAAGUGGGCUUUUAUUUAGUUAUUUUUCUCUAAUGUGAGAAACUGUGAGUUCUCUAGGACGGGGAAAUGUGACCUAUGGGUUAACAAUUCAAAUACUUGAUGAUGAGAAGGCAGUGCUAGCAUGAUGGAAAUUAGUGAUGGGAUCCUGUAUAACAGCUCCUCCCUUGGGUCAUAAAUGGGAUUGAGCUCUUGAGCUUCAGAGGUUAGAACCUAAAUCCUUACCUCAUGAA